UACGGGGGGUGCGAGCGUUGUCCGGAAUCACUGGGCGUAAAGGGCGCGUAGGCGGUCCGGUAAGUCCGCUGUGAAAGUCGGGGGCUUAACCCUCGGAUGCCGGUGGAUACUGUCGGGCUUGAGUACGGAAGAGGCGAGUGGAAUUCCUGGUGUAGCGGUGAAAUGCGCAGAUAUCAGGAGGAACACCAAUUGCGAAGGCAGCUCGCUGGGACGUUACUGACGCUGAGGCACGAAAGCGUGGGGAGCAAACAGG
rnacentral:rRNA from 1 species